UUUAAGGUCUAAUCUGCCCAAUGAGUAAUUAAAUGGCCGCGGUACUUUGACCGUGCAAAGGUAGCAUAAUAAUUAGUUUUUUAAUUGAAAGCUGGAAUGAAUGAUUGGACGAGAAAAUUACUGUCUCAGAUUAAUUUUUAUUAGAAUUUUAUUUUUAAGUAAAAAAGCUUAAAUUUUUUUAAAAGACGAGAAGACCCUAUAGAGUUUUAUAAUAAAAAAAUUAUAAUUUUUAUAGUAUUUUUAUAUUUAUAAUUUUUUUAUUAUUUUGUUGGGGUGAUAGAAAAAUUAAAUUAACUUUUUUUAUAUUUUUACAUUAAUUUAUGAAUUUAUGAUCCAUUAUUUAUGAUUAUAAGAUUAAAUUACCUUAGGGAUAACAGCGUAAUUUUUUUUUAGAGUUCUUAUCGAAAAAUUAGAUUGCGACCUCGAUGUUGGAUUAAAAUAAAAUCUUGGUGUAGGAGCUAGGAUAUUAAGUCUGUUCGACUUUUAAAAUUUUACA
rnacentral:rRNA from 1 species